rnacentral:rRNA from 1 species
UCGGGAAUUUUGGGCAAUGGGCGAAAGCCUGACCCAGCAACGCCGCGUGAAGGAUGAAGUAUUUCGGUAUGUAAACUUCGAAAGAAUAGGAAGAAUAAAUGACGGUACUAUUUAUAAGGUCCGGCUAACUACGUGCCAGCAGCCGCGGUAAUACGUAGGGACCAAGCGUUGUUCGGAUUUACUGGGCGUAAAGGGCGCGUAGGCGGCGUGGUAAGUCAUCUGUGAAAUCUCCGAGCUUAACUCGGAACGGUCAGAUGAUACUGCUGUGCUAGAGUACAGAAGGGGCAAUCGGAAUUCUUGGUGUAGCGGUGAAAUGCGUAGAUAUCAAGAGGAACACCUGAGGUGAAGACGGGUUGCUGGGCUGAUACUGACGCUGAGGCGCGAAAGCUAGGGUAGCAAACGGGAUUAGAUACCCUCGUAGUCCCUGAGCGGGCUGGCAAGGCGCAU